GAUUAUGGCUCAGGAUGAACGCUAGCUACAGGCUUAACACAUGCAAGUCGAGGGGCAGCAUGACGAUUGCUUGCAAUUGUCGAUGGCGACCGGCGCACGGGUGAGUAACGCGUAUCCAACCUUCCCCUUAGUAGAGGAUAGCCCGGCGAAAGUCGGAUUAAUACUCUAUGUUCUUCGAAGCGGGCAUCUAAUUUGAAGCAAAGAUUGAUCGCUAAGGGAUGGGGAUGCGUCUGAUUAGCUUGUCGGCGGGGUAACGGCCCACCGAGGCGACGAUCAGUAGGGGUUCUGAGAGGAAGGUCCCCCACAUUGGUACUGAGACACGGACCAAACUCCUACGGGAGGCAGCAGUGAGGAAUAUUGGUCAAUGGGCGUGAGCCUGAACCAGCCAAGUAGCGUGCAGGACGACUGCCCUAUGGGUUGUAAACUGCUUUUAUGCGGGAAUAAAGUCAGGUACGUGUACCUGUUUGUAUGUACCGCAUGAAUAAGGACCGGCUAAUUCCGUGCCAGCCGCCGC
rnacentral:rRNA from 1 species